rnacentral:rRNA from 1 species
GACGUAGGGGGCCAGCGUUGUUCGGAAUUACUGGGUGUAAAGGGUUCGUAGGCGGUGCGGCAAGUUGGGAGUGAAAUCUCUGGGCUUAACCCAGAGGCUGCUUCCAAAACUGCUGUGCUUGAGUGUGGGAGAGGCGCGUGGAAUUGCAGGUGUAGCGGUGAAAUGCGUAGAUAUCUGCAGGAACACCCGUGGCGAAAGCGGCGCGCUGGACCACUACUGACGCUGAGGCACGAAGGCCAGGGGAGCAAACGGG